UACAGAGGGUGCAAGCGUUAAUCGGAAUUACUGGGCGUAAAGCGUGCGUAGACGGUUACGUAAGUCGGGUGUGAAAGCCCCGGGCUCAACCUGGGGAUUGCAUUCGAGACUGCAUAGCUAGGGUGCGGAAGAGGGAAGCGGAAUUUCCGGUGUAGCGGUGAAAUGCGUAGAUAUCGGAAGGAACACCAGUGGCGAAAGCGGCUUCCUGGUCCAGCACCGACGUUCAGGCACGAAAGCGUGGGGAGCAAACAGG
rnacentral:rRNA from 1 species